AUGAAUGAUUUUAUUCUCAUUCUACGUGACUUUACCGAAAGAACCAAAGAAGACGAAUCCUUGCAGUCACGAAAGCUUUAAAUUGAUGUGGAUCCUGAAGUUCAGUCAAAUAACUUUGGAGGAAAUAUUUCACGCGGUGUAUUUCCCCUGUGUGUGUGUGUGUCAAUGAAUCUGUCAGUUUGUAUGCAUGAUUCACGUACAUGCAGCACAAUAAUUAACUGCUGACCAUGUUGUGUUGGUUGAUUUGGACGUUGCUGAGGAAAGAUGGAUUCCAUGGAGACAAUGUUUUUUUCCUUGCUCACUGUAGCCUCUUUCUGAUGCAAUGGGGUGCACUGCAUUGUGAGAUUUUCGCACGGAUUCUUUGUCUCGAUUGAAAGACGAAACAAGUAUGAAAUCAAGAAACGAAACUCUGAG